CGCGUAGGUGGUAGUGUAAGUCUGGGGUGGAAUCCCAGGGCUCAACCCUGGAACUGCCUUGGAAACUGCAUUACUUGAGUCAGUGAGGGGAGGGUAGAAUUCCUGGUGUAGCGGUGAAAUGCGUAGAUAUCAGGAGGAAGGCCUGUGGCGAAGGCGGCCCUCUGGCGCUGGACUGACACUGAGGCGCGAAAGCGUGGGGAGCAAACAGGAUUAGAUACCCUGGUAGUCCACGCCCUAAACGGUGGGCACUAGGUGGUAGGGCUCGUAAGGGUUCUGUGCCGAAGGGAAACCAUUAAGUGCCCGCCUGGGGAGUACGGCCGCAAGGUUGAA
rnacentral:rRNA from 1 species